GGGCCCAUAGUUUAACGGAAAAACGCCUCAUUUGCAAUGAGGAAAGUGAGGGUUCAAUUCCCUCUGGGUCCA
rnacentral:tRNA from 1 species